UCUACAGCAGAGAAAACCCACGAAAACCCUCGCCAACCACCUCUAAAAACCCACAUAUCUCACUCAUUUCUUCACCAUUUCACCUCAUUUUUGUCUUAAAAGUUUCUAUUUUCAAUAUCUAAUCCCAUACACUAAAAAAGUUUUGUUUUUUCACCCAUUUACACUGUACCCGAACCUAUUUUAAAAAAAAGUGGUGGUUUAACUCCGACCACCGCUUUUAGCGGAGAAAUCGUUCAAUCUCAACGUUCAUUAAGGUGGCCGGAUUUUUGGUCGCAAUUUGUCGCCGGAUUGCGUUUAUAAGAUAUGGCCAACUCGAGUUCGGGAUCUGAUUCAGACCCAGAGGCAGAGUGUCCAACCACAAUACCUACACGAGGGCCGACGCAAAUGAAUGAAAUAUCCAAACUAAUGGAUCAGGGCAAAAGAGUGGCCCUCGAAGUUAAUGAUAAAGGUCAAUACUGUGGAAAAAGCUAUGCGAAGCUCGUAUCCACUCUAGGAGUCAGAUGUCGGCAGACAAUAGGGUUGGCUUAUAAAAACUGGAAAGAAGUCAACCCGACUCUGAAAAAUAAUGUUUGGAAAGACAUUCAGGUAAGCUAUUAUUUGUUAGAAUUUUGAUUUGUUUUUCUAUUACUCA